rnacentral:rRNA from 1 species
AGAGUUUGAUCAUGGCUCAGAAUGAACGCUGGCGGCAUGGCUAAGACAUGCAAGUCGAACGGACUAUUUAAUUUAUUAGAUAGUUAGUGGCGAAAGGGUGAGGAAUAAAUAGGUAACAUACCCCGUGUUUCAGAAUAGCGUCUAUCCCGAUUUAUCGGGAUUUCCGAAAGGGGCGGUAAUGCUGAAUAAUAUCAUCUGCUUAAUGUAGAUGAUCAAAGAUUUAUCGACACGGGAGUGGCCUAUUUCCUAUCAGCUUGUUGGUGAGGUAACGGCUCACCAAGGCGACGACGGGUAGCGGGACUGAGAGGUUGGCCCGCCACAUCGGGACUGAGACACUGCCCGGACCUCCACGGAGGGCUGCAGUAACGAAUAUUGGGCAAUGGGCGAAAGCCUGACCCAGCAAUGCCGCGUGUAGGAUGAAGCCUUUCGGGGUGUAAACUACUGUCAGGGAUUAGAAAGCUACGGUUGAUCAAUCCCAGAGGAAGUCACGGCUAACUUCGUGCCAGCAGCCGCGGUAAUACGAAGGUGGCAAGCGUUAUUCGAAAUCACUGGGCUUAAAGGGCGCGUAGGCGGACAUGUAAGUGUUUUGUGAAAUCCCUCGGCUUAACCGAGGAAUUGCUUAGCAAACUACAUGUCUUGAGUCAAGUAGGGGUGUGUGGAACUCUUGGUGGAGCGGUGGAAUGCGUAGAUAUCAAGAGGAACGCCGAAGGUGAAGACAGCACACUAGGCUUGUACUGACGCUGAGGCGCGAAAGCGUGGGGAGCAAACAGGAUUAGAUACCCUGGUAGUCCACGCUGUAAACGAUGUCUACUAGGUUGCGGGGGUUCUGACACCGUCGCAGUCGAAGCAAAAGUGUUAAGUAGACCGCCUGGGGAGUACGGUCGCAAGGCUAAAACUCAAAGGAAUUGACGGGGGCUCACACAAGCGGUGGAGCAUGUGGAUUAAUUCGAAGCAACGCGCAGAACCUUACCUGGGUUUGACAUGUUUGGAUGCCUAUCUGGAAACAGAGUCGGCUGCCCUUCGGGGUGAAACUUACACAGGUGCUGCAUGGCUGUCGUCAGCUCGUGUCGUGAGAUGUCGGGUUAAGUCCUUUAACGAGCGAAACCCUUACCGUUAGUUGCCAGCGCGUCAUGGCGGGGACUCUAGCGGGACUGCCGGUGUUAAACCGGAGGAAGGCGGGGAUGACGUCAAGUCCUCAUGGCCUUUAUGCCCAGGGCUUCACACGUGCUACAAUGGUGACUACAAAGCGACGCGAUACCGUGAGGUGGAGCAAAUCGCAAAAAAGUCGCCCCAGUUCAGAUUGCAGGCUGGCAACUCGCCUGCAUGAAGUUGGAAUCGCUAGUAAUCGCAUACCAGCGAUGAUGCGGUGAAUGUGUUCCUGAGCCUUGUACACACCGCCCGUCAAGUGAUGGGAGUUGGGAGUACCCGAAGUCGGAUUGCUAACUUUUUAAGAAGCGUCUGCCGACGGUAAGCUCGAUGACUGGCACUAAGUCGUAACAAGGUA